UACGAAGGGGGCUAGCGUUGCUCGGAAUGACUGGGCGUAAAGGGCGCGUAGGCGGUUUGGACAGUCAGGCGUGAAAUUCCUGGGCUUAACCUGGGGGCUGCGCUUGAUACAUCCAGACUUGAGUGGGGAAGAGGGUCGUGGAAUUCCCAGUGUAGAGGUGAAAUUCGUAGAUAUUGGGAAGAACACCGGUGGCGAAGGCGGCGACCUGGUCCUUUACUGACGCUGAGCGCGAAAGCGUGGGGAG
rnacentral:rRNA from 1 species